UUAACCCAAAGACUCAUUUAUUCAGCAACCAGCAACCAUUUAGAGAGUGCCUAGUGUGUGUCAAGAACUGUGCUAAGGCUGGGACCGGGAAGUGCGUGUGUGAAUUGACCAUUCCGUGCAUUGCCAUAGUGAAGGUGCGGACAGAGUGCCACAGGCCAGAGAAGAAGGUAACCACACUUCAACUGUUAACUUUCUGGCUCAGUGCUUAGUUGUGCUUGGCAACAAAUACUGCCAGAGGAAGAAGUACCUACAAAGCUAAGAAUUAUGGAUACAGCAGUGAAGUGGUCAGGAAUGGUCCCACCCUGCCCUCACCAAGCUCAUAGCCUAUUGAUUGAAGAAGCCAGACACUGAACAGGUGAUUACAAGCACAGGGUAUUAUUCACUGGAUAGGAAGAUCUGAAGUCAUUAAAAGCAACCUGGUGUUAUGUGCUCACCUCUUUAAGGUUUUGAUCCCUCCUAACCAUGUUUGUUUGGCCAUUUUUGGCUUGAAGAUUGGUUCCCUUUAUAGCAAAGAGAUUUGGAGUUAAGUGAUUUCAUUUUGUCUCUCUCCUUUAUUAAAUCUUUUCCCCCAGAUACUUGGGCCUAUAUUUUACUUUUUCAUUAUAUUCUCAGAAUAUAGUUUAAAAGCAGUUAGCUUCCCCUCCUCACCCCACCUUACCCAAGCCUCGGGUGUCACGGAUAAAAAUUGGGGGAGUUGGGGAGAAGUGCUUGUUGGGGGUUGAGGAAGUGCUGAGUAUGAAGUGAGUGAUGAUGUGGCAUCUGUGUGUGCACAGCUGGAAGUAAAGGCAGGGGGAUGAGAGGUUUGGAUUGGUUAUGGAGAUGUGAAUUUUUCCACAUGGAGAUGAGUAUAGAUUAUCUAUCCAUGGAAGUGGGAGAAAAGAGAGUCGCAUGGAAGGCCAAGAACUAAGUCAUGAAGGAUUGGCACAGUCAGAAGCGGGGAGAAGUUUCAACCAAAGAAACUGAAAUUCAUAGAAUAGGAAGAAAGCUUAGAAAUGAUCUAGCCCACCUCUCUCGUGUAACUGAUGAGGAAAUUGUUGUCCAGAUAAAAAAGAAUCAGUCAGUGGAAUAGCUACAAAUGUAUAGAGUUGUAUACGUCCUGAGAGGGUGGGAAAGUGGUUUUCAAGAAAUAGGAGAUGGUGCACAGGGCCAAAUGGUACAGAGGAAUUGAAGAAUGAGAGGGCACUAAGGAUGGGCCUCAAAAUUGAUUAAAUGAUGCUUUGGUCUUCCAGAGUACAGUUUUGAUAAAGCAAAAAAAAAAAAAAAAAAAAAAGGAAGCCAGAUUGCAAGGGUAAGUAUCAGGGAAAAGGGUUUGAGUGUGAAAGAGACAAGGAGACGGAUAGUGAGUUAUAAUACACUCAGUAGGUUUGGCAUUACUAGGCAAGAGAAAUAAGAUGAUAGCUAGAAGGAAAGGAGAAAUAAAGUUUAAGAUAAUGGAAAUAUUACUAUUUUAAGACAGAAAGGAAGGAACCAAUUGAGUGGGAGGGACUGAGGAUGCAAGAGUACUCCUACCAUCCUUGGCAGGAAGAUCACAAGAAGCAGAAAAGGAACCAGAGCACAGGUGGAUGUAAGCUUUGGAGAAAGGAAGAUACUGGAAAGUGAAAAGAAGAAGGUACCACAUGUGGUGAAGGAGGCAAAGCAAAAGGAAAGCCACAUCCCAGAGGACAGGUAUGGGGAUAUGGGGAGAAAACCAAGCUGACCUCAAGGUGCAAGGUGGGACUCUGAGUCCUGCCUCUGCCUCUCCCUGGAACACUGACUUUGAUCCCUCAGAGCUUUGUUCCCUCGGAGCCAGCAGCUUUACGUUUGGAUGUCACAGAGUUUUUAUGAGACUGAUAUCAGGUAACAUACAUGCAUAUGCCUUGUACAAGCUGAGUUAUCAAAGCAUUUUUGAGAUUCAUCCCGGGGCUCACAAUGCAAAAAGAGAAGAUCUGAAAUGGCGGCGCUAGUGAGUAAAUUCAAAAGUUCACAAGAUGUGUGCUGGCUGGGCAGUAGGAAGGUUCUAGCUGGAGCUGGAAAUUGUGUUUCUUCUUUCAGAAGAGAGACCCAGGGAGCCCUCUUGCUGCUCUCCUGGGCACUGAAAGGCAGCACAGAAAAGCCUUAGAGAAAGAAGCACCAGAGUGUAAAUUCUGAGCAGUAGCAAGAAGGUACUAUUUCAAGGGCCACUAUUCCCUGGAGUCUCAAAGCCCAACCGGCCCAAGGUGAUGGUAGCAACACUUUUAACAGGGUUAUACUGAGGUCACCAGAUUCUCAAGCACUCCCCUCUUCUUUAAAGUUCAGAAUCAUCAAAUUAGAGGACCAAACCCCAUCCUUGACCACAUGAAAAACAAAACGAGGCCUGCCUCUGACUCAGACUGUUCACAGGGAAUGAAGGAUGCUGUGGAAUCAUAGGAGCACAGAUUCUCAGGGUGGGUGGAGACUUGAAGGCCAUUUAUUCCACCACCUGGCUGGUGUGCGACCCUUUUCCAUAGUCUGGCAAAAUGCCAGCAUAAGCUCAAAAUCCUCCAGUGACAGCCCAGUUCAUGCAUGGCAGCUCUGAUUACUUCAUCGACUAUCCUUAUAUUGAUCUAAAGUCUACAUGUCCCUAUAGCUUACAUACUGGUCUGAGUGUGGUCCCUGGGAUCCACAUAAAAAAAUCUUCGAUGUUCCCUCAGUGCCUCCAUUCCUCCCCCUUGAUGGUCCUUUUCCAGUUGACAUGUUUGUCUGUCUCUGCUACCAAGUCUGGCUCUCAGAUCUGAGCACAGCCCUCUGGGUGUGCUCCGGGCUGCACAGGACAAAACAGGGCCAUCACCUCCUUCAUUUCAGGGACGAGUGCAGACACAGCACACUUAGAAUUUUGAGGAACAUAUCAUAUUAUUGAUUCACACUGAACAAAUUGCUCACUACAACCCCUAUACUGUUGUGGGCAACUGACUGUGAGAUCAAGAACUCCGUAUUUAUCCCCAGUAAGUUACAUCUUGUAAUAUUUGGCCCAGGAACAAAAGAAAGAUAUCAACAUGGACAUAUCUGGACAUAUCUAACAUACUUAUCAUUUAUUCACUCUUAUUCAUUCAUUCAAUAACCUGUUCCUCCCAGUUCUAUGCACUUAGUAAAUGUGACUAGCCUGCACUCUAUGUUUAUUCAGUUAUAUUUUUACGCAAACCAUUGAAAAACAUGUCCAAAAGGGCAGAGGCCUACCGUACAACAUGAAACAUCUCCCUGAAGAAUGACUGACCACUGAUUUAGUUACUUUAUUAAUUCAGAAAAUUCACUCAAUUAAUAUGUGUUGAGGCCGCACGUGCCAGGUCAUGAUCUAUGUGCUGGAGAAACACACAGCAGUGAACAAACCAGACAAGGUUCCUGCUGAUUAUAGAGGGAGAGACAGGAUAAUGCUAAUACUACUACUACUACUAGCUAACAUUUAUCGAGCAUUUCCUAUGGGCCAGGUAUUUUUCUAAACACUUUACAUGUUUAUUCUUCACAAAAUCUUAUGAAGUAAAUACAGUACUAUCAUUACUCCCAUUUUAUAGAUUAAGUGUUCUGAGGCACAGAGGAGUUAAGACACGUGCUCAAGAUCACACAGAUCCUAACGGAUGGAGCAUCAGCCUAGGCUGUCUGGUUCCAGAGCCUGUCUGUUUAACCACUGAGUUUCUAUUGUGUCUCUGCAGAAAUAAACACUAAAUUAAACAUACACAUAAACACAUAAGGAAAUAUUCUCAUACGAAAAAGUCGCAUUUAAGCUGAGGUCUGAAUGACGAGAGGGAGCCAACGUCUCAAGAACUGAGGGAAGAGCAAGAGGUAGGAGAGGUGGGCAGAGGGCCUAUCAUGAGGGGCCUCUUGUACUAGGGGAAUGCUAGGGAUACAGCUAUAGGAAUUCAA